rnacentral:rRNA from 1 species
AUGGAAGCCGGCGAUCAUCGCGAUCAAUCCAUUGCCGGUGUGGCGGCGCACGCGCAGCUGCUGCCCGACGACAUCCUCGCGUGCGUCCUCCGCCGUCUCGAGCCACGCAGCCUCGCCGCGUCCCGCUGCGCCUGCAAAGGCUGGCGCGCCGUCGUCGACGGCCGCCGCCUGCUGCGGACGGACCUCCUCCCGCUCUCGCUCUACGGGAUCUUCUUCAUGGAGAUAGACGUCCUCUGCGGCGACCCCCCAAAGCUCUUCGCAAACCCGCUGACAAGUCGCAGGAUCAACGCAAACCUUGACUACACCGACAGGGAAGAGGGUUCACGCAUCAUCGAGAAUCACUGCAACGGACUCCUCCUGCUCUGGGGCAACAUGGUGGUCAACCCGGCCACCCGGCAAUGGGUGCGCCUGCCUCCGCCUCCGCCGCGGUGCACCGAGAGUGGGAUGGAGGGCUUCUACGACGACGUCUGCCUUGCCUUUGACCCCACCGUGUCCCCCGACUAUGAGGUAUAUAUGGUUCCUAGCGUCCCCUGCGAGCUUGAUCCCACGGCGACAAUAUUUACGGAGGAAUCGGAGUGGCCGCCCUCGUCAUGUGCAAUACGAGUCUUCUCUUCCAGGACAUGGAGAUGGGAGGAGAGGUCGUUCCUCCGCAGAGGAGAGGCUGCAGGCACCAUCGCCGACAUGCAGCAAUAUACAGAGUUCCAACGCCGUUACACCGUCUACUGGAAAGGGGCGCUUUAUGUGCACUGUCAAAAUGACUCCAUCAUGCGCAUAACAUUAUCGGAUGGUGCGUAUCAAGUGAUUAAAUCGCCAGCUGGGGGCAAGAUGAAUGGUUCUGCACAUCUUUAUCUUGGAAAAUCAAACAAGGGGGUGUACUGUGCUUUGAUUUAUCAUAAUCUUCAGCACCAGUUUCAGGUUUGGUUGCUGGAUGAAUCUUGUGGUAGAAUGGGGUGGGAGUUAAAGAAUGAUAUCAAAUUUGCGCCAGUGAUGGCAAAAAUUUCUUUGGUCAAGUAUAAGGAUGGAUUCCCCAACAAAAAAAAGCACAAGGAUCAAAACCUCAGACCUUGGAUCUUUCUGAGAGGUAAUUGUUUUGAUGAAGAUGUUAAGCAAGCACUAACGGAAGAUAAUGCUGAAUGGGACUACAGCAAGGGUUUUAUCCUUGAGACUCAAGAUCUUAAGGUUAAUUCUGACCACAUGCAUUUUGAAGAAGUCUAUUUCCUUGGAUUUCAUCCAUAUAAAGAGAUUGUCUUUUUGUGGAUGUCACGAGACACGGCAGUUGCUUAUGAUUUUAGUAGCUCUAAAGUACAGUGCUUGGGCAAGUUACACGCGCAUUGGAUCGGAAAGUCUUUUCCGUACACACCAUGUUGGAUAGGAGAGUUAUCUGAAAAAUAA